CCAAAAGGGGUCAUAACUGGCCACCAAUGGCAAUGGCAUUGGCCAUUGUUUUGAUUUCAACUAGUGUGGUUUCUGCUGCUGCAGAUAGUUAUAUUUACUCUUCUCCUCCACCACCUUACGAGUAUAAGUCGCCACCGCCACCAUCACCUUCACCACCACCUCCUUAUGUUUACAAAUCGCCACCUCCUCCAUCCCCAUCACCUCCACCACCUUAUGAGCACAAGGCUCCUGCUUAUGAGUACAAGUCACCACCACCACCAACUCCUUCACCACCACCUCCUUAUGUGUACAAGUCACCACCACCGCCAUCUCCUUCACCACCACCUCCUUAUGUGUACAAGUCACCACCACCACCCUCACCUUCCCCACCACCACCAUACUACUACAAGAGUCCUCCACCACCUUCUCCUUCACCUCCACCUCCUUACUACUACAAAUCUCCUCCACCACCCUCACCUUCCCCACCACCACCAUACUAUUACAAGUCUCCUCCACCACCAUCUCCCUCACCUCCACCACCAUAUUACUACAAGUCUCCCCCACCACCCUCACCCUCCCCUCCACCCCCAUAUAUACACAAGGAUCCACCAUACUAUUACAAGUCCCCACCACCACCUUCACCAUCUCCUCCACCACCAUACUACUACAAAUCUCCCCCACCCCCUUCACCGUCUCCUCCACCACCAUACUACUACAAAUCUCCUCCUCCUCCAUCUCCUAUUCCCAAAACACCUUACUACUACAAAUCUCCCCCACCCCCUUCACCAUCUCCUCCACCACCAUACUACUACAAAUCUCCCCCACCCCCUUCACCGUCUCCUCCACCACCAUACUACUAUAAAUCUCCCCCACCACCGUCACCCUCUCCACCACCACCUUACUAUUACAAGUCUCCUCCCCCACCUUCACCAUCUCCUCCACCACCAUACUACUACAAAUCUCCUCCUCCUCCAUCUCCUAUUCCCCAUACACCUUACUAUUACAAAUCUCCCCCACCACCUUCACCAUCUCCUCCACCACCAUACUACUACAAAUCUCCUCCUCCUCCAUCUCCUAUUCCCCGUACACCUUACUAUUACAAAUCUCCCCCACCACCUUCACCAUCUCCUCCACCACCAUACUACUACAAAUCCCCUCCUCAUCCAUCUCCCAUUCCCCAUACACCUUACUAUUACACAUCUCCCCCACCACCUUCACCGUCUCCUCCACCACCAUAUUACUACAAAUCUCCUCCCCCUCCGUCUCCUAUUCCCCACACACCUUACUACUACAAGUCCCCACCACCACCAAAGGUCCUUCCACCACCAUACUAUUACAAUUCUCCUCCUCCACCUGUUGUGUAUCCUCACCCAUAUCCCUACCACCACUCACUUAUUGUGAGGGUAGUCGGUAAAGUCUACAGCUUCAGAUGUUAUGAUUGGAAUUAUCCUGCAAAGUCUCAUAACAAGAAACAUCUCAAAGGUACAUUACAUUUCUUAGGACCGGACCUCUUUAGAGUAAUGUGUUUAGAGAUAAUGCACAAUUUUUUAUUUUUUUAUCUCGUAAAGGUUUAUUUAUUAUAAUCACAAUUUCACUUUUGUCAAAAAGAAAAACAAUUUUACUAUAUAUAGUUUUAAUCAUUAACAUUUUGAUGUAAAAAGAAUACAAUUCUCUAUUACCUUUUUACUAUGAUAUAUAUACAAAGAUUAUUCAAAUCUAUAUAUCCAACCUAAUUUCCAUCCAAAAAAAUAGAAAACAUAGGGUGCUUUGAACGCCUGCAGCAUCACAUGAAUAAAUAAAAACAAUCAAUAAUCAACCUUGUUCUAAUUUAUUUUAGACAGCGAUUGUUAAGCAUACUGCUCUUUUAAUUACAUUUUUUUUAAAGAUGCUCUUUUAAUUAUAUUGUCCUAAUAUAAUAUGUGUCUUUAUAUAUUACUUGUCGUAAACUAAUUUUAUUAUGGGUGCAGGAGCUGUUGUUGAGGUGACAUGCAAAGCCGGGAGCAAAAUUGUCAAGGCUUAUGGAAAAACUAAGAACAAUGGAAAGUAUGCCAUCACAGUUAAGGACUUUGACUAUGUCAAAUAUGGUUCGACAGUGUGCAAGGCUGCCCUAUAUGCUCCACCUAAGGGUUCACCCUUCAACAUACCUACAAAGCUAAAUCAAGGAACAAAGUUGUACUUGAAAUCCAAAGACAAGUACGAGGUUGUGCUCAAGGCUAAGCCAUUUGCUUAUGCUUCAAAGAAACAUUUCAAAGAAUGUGAGAAGCCUAAGCCUUCACCAACUCCUUACUACUACAAAUCACCUCCACCUCCCUCACCAGUUUACAAAUACAACUCACCACCUCCACCGGUCCAUUAUUAUUCACCUCCAUACACCUACAAGUCACCUCCUCCCCCUGUGAAAGCGGCACCAACUCCUUACUACUACAAAUCACCUCCACCACCCGCACCGGUUUACAAGUACAACUCACCCCCUCCACCGGUCCAUUAUUAUUCACCACCAUAUACCUAUAAGUCACCUCCUCCCCCUGUGAAAGCGGCACCAACUCCUUACUACUACAAAUCACCUCCACCUCCCGCACCGGUUUACAAGUACAACUCCCCACCUCCACCGGUCCAUUAUUAUUCACCUCCAUAUACCUACAAGUCACCUCCUCCCCCUGUGAAAGUGGCACCAACUCCUUACUACUACAAAUCACCUCCACCACCCGCACCGGUUUACAAGUACAACUCACCACCUCCACCGGUCCAUUAUUAUUCUCCACCAUACUACUACAAGUCACCACCCCCACCAUCUCCAUCACCUCCUCCACCAUACUAUUUCAAAUACUAUUACAAGUCCCCACCUCCACCAUCACCAUCCCCUCCUCCACCUUAUUAUUACAAAUCUCCUCCUCCACCAAAACAAAUUUCACACCCUCCAUACUACUAUAAGUCACCACCCCCACCAUCACCAUCACCUCCUCCACCAUACUAUUAUAAGUCUCCACCUCCACCAUCACCAUCUCCCCCACCACCUUAUUAUUAUAAGUCACCACCCCCACCAUCCCCGUCCCCUCCUCCACCAUACUACUACAAGUCUCCACCUCCACCUAAAGAAAUAUCACAUCCUCCAUAUAACUAUAAGUCACCACCCCCACCAUCACCAUCCCCUCCCCCUCCAUACUAUUACAAAUCUCCUCCACCACCAUCACCAUCACCACCACCUCCCUACUAUUACAAAUCACCUCCACCACCAUCACCAUCACCUCCCCCUCCAUACUAUUACAAAUCUCCUCCACCACCAUCACCAUCACCACCACCUCCUUACUAUUACAAAUCACCUCCACCACCAUCCCCAUCACCACCACCUCCAUACUACUACAAAAGUCCCCCUCCACCAUCUCCAUCUCCUCCAUCCCCAUAUUACUACAAAUCUCCACCACCACCAUCACCAUCCCCACCCCCUCCCUACUAUUACAAAUCACCUCCACCUCCCUCACCAUCACCGCCACCUCCUUACUAUUACAAAUCACCUCCACCUCCCUCACCAUCACCGCCACCUCCUUACUAUUACAAAUCUCCCCCACCUCCAUCUCCAUCUCCACCACCUCCUUACCACUAUCAAAGUCCUCCUCCACCAUCUCCCAUUUCUCAUCCUCCCUACUACUACAAAUCCCCUCCACCACCAUCGCCGUCUCCUCCACCUCCUUACCACUAUGUGAGUCCUCCCCCACCAGUAAAGUCACCUCCACCACCAACUUAUAUCUAUGCUUCACCACCACCACCUCACUACAACUAAGCUCAAAGAGCAGAAGCUCCGUUCAUUAUAAAUCAUGUAAGUUUAUCAUCUUCAAUUUUCUGAAUGUGUGCGUGUGUAUUUGUUUUUUUGUUACAAGAUACUAACAAAAUUCUUUUCUUAUUUAUGUUCAGGUUUUAGUUUUCAUCUAGGAAUAAAGGCAAGCUCCAUUUGGAGUAAAGUGAAACUUCUAGCUUCGUGUCCGAAUUCGUUAAAUAAAUGUCGGGAUGUAUCGUCUUUGAGCUAUAAUAUUUCUGAUCCAGACAAUAUCUAUUUUGUUUCUUUGGUGGCAAUCUUGCACUUCCUGGUCUUAGUCUAUUCAAGUGACAGACAAAUCAAAAGGGAGAAGCGAGAUUAAUUUAUUUGUGAUCUCUUUGAUUUAUUUGUGCAUAUAUCAAUAUGAACGUGUAUGAUAUUUUUCUAUUUAUUGAAGAUUUUUUUACUGUAACCUGUUAUUGUGUUUGUCAAAAGGUGUUAAUAAAGAAUCACAUUCAAUUUCUGUUAAAUUAUCAGUAUUUGUUUCUUUCUAACAACUACCAUUCAUGCAAAUGUGGCUAUUAAAAAAAGCUCCAAUGACACAUAAAAAGCUUCCAAACAAUAUAUAAACAAAGAUGCAUUGUUUUCUGUUAAGAAGGGGACAGGGUUACGGUUACUUGUGUACCAAGUUAGUUAUCCAUGCUUUCUUGUUCAUAGGAUUUAUAUGGUGUAGUUGCACUUAGUUGCUAAAUGUAUGCAAGCUUUUCCUUUCUAUAAAUAAGCACACCUACUAUCAUUCUUCUCCACAUUCCUUUCUACUCUUCUAUCAUGAAUUGUUCAUCCACAUAAGAUGGUCACAGAGCACACCUAAUACUCUGCUACUGGUGUAUCAGUUCCUUUCCACCAGAAACUUAUGAUCUCUAAUUGAAAGAGAUCCUAAAGUUUUAAGAUUUCUACAAAAUACAUUAUUCUCAUUUUUGUACAAGUAUGAUACAAUUAUUCCCAAGUAUUAUUUAUUCUAAGGAAUAGAAUUUAGUUGUGGUUUCUCUAUUUAACCAACAUUUAUUUUUAAAUAACUAAAUUUAAAAAAAAAAUCCUGAAAUUAUUAAGUACAUACCUAACACAUUGUAAAAUUUUGUUCCCAAAGAAAAUAUUUUUGGCAAUAGAAUUUUCAGGAACUUCAUUCCUAGGAAUAUAAUUCUAUACUAAGAGAAGAGCUUAAGCAUUGAUACAUAACAAGACCAAUCCAUAUCCUAAUCACAAUCCUACUUUCACUAAAUACUUUCACUUAAGUGUGGUCUUGGAAAGGACAAAUGAAGAAAGACAUUCCAGAGGUAUGGUAAGGGACAAUAUCUGCAGUUAUGCACAUAUUGCAAGAUUGUGAGGAACUACCGGACUGAUUUGAUUCACCAAAAAAUUUGGAAUAAAUAUUUCAGCCCAGAACUCAGACAAUGACUGGAUUGGAACCUUUCAGCUUCUAAUAUCGGUACUGUCCAAGGAAAUAGUCAUUCUCUUUUUGGAGUAGCUGUGAAGGAUUUAUGGAAAGAUAGAACUAAGCUGGUCUUUUCUAGAAACACCGCGAUUGGAACUACUCUAUUUUGGCUUGUAGCCAAUCCGGCUAAGUUUAUUAACAAUGUAGUUUGUACUCAAGCUCACAGUCACGAUGUUGUCAGCAACAGUGGGCAUAUUGUUUAGGUAGCCUGGAAUUUUCCUCCCCAACACUUCUUCAAAGUGAAUAUGAUGGAUCUCUACGGGAUUAUGUUAGUUUCCAGGAUCGAACUCAGAACCUCCUGAUUAUAACUCCUUCAAUGUAUGUCCCUUACCCACGUGGGGCCUCGGCUGUAAUUGUUAACAUGGUAAAAUUUGGCUCUUCCAAUAAUGGUUUUAUCCAAACUCGAGGUUGUUUAUCGUCUCCAACAAUCAGAUUGGAGAAUACUAGUGGUUCAUGCAUUUGAACAAACCAACUGUUGUGCAGAUUUUCUAGUUGAUUUUGUUUUUCCUUUUUUGAGUAUUUUAUUAGCCAAUGAUAUAAGAGGUUGUAGCCUACCUCUUUUGAUUUCUUAAGACAAUCACUUUUGCAUUAGAAAAAAACGACCCUACAUAAAAUUAAUGAUUGAAUUAAGAUAUAACUUCAGUUUGAAAUAUUGUAAAAUUCUAUACCACCAAAAACUGAGAAUUUUAGAACCAUACAGGUUGGUGGAGUGGUCAUCCAGAUAACUUUAACAUAAUUAACAGUCCAAAAAGUAAAUAGCUUUAUCCUUUAUUUUCAAUCUGAUGUGAUUUACUCUUAUCUGUUAAACAUUAUAAUUAAGAAUCCAAAGGGAACACUCACCUAAUCUCUCUCUUUUUUCUAGCUUUUUCACUAAACCACUGUGUCUGUGGUUACCACAUUUCCUUAUGGAAUCAAUAUCCAAUUUAUGUUAAAAACCAUUUCUACAUUUUGUGUUAAAAAUGAUCUAAACAAAGAUGAUUUAUUUCUCUUAAAUUCAACAUAGAUCAUAUUUACAUGGUUCAAACUUUCUAUUACACGGCAUUGACUUAGUUGCUUCACAUGGGGACACAACUAAUGCAUAUAUUAUUUUAUAUGCUUAUAGUAAUUUUAACAAGUGGCAAUGGGGCAUAUGUUUUGUCAAAAAAACACAAAAAACAGGAGGCAUGUGCAACUGAAGUCACUGCCAGCUUGGCACUAAGAUAUAGUAAAAUAAUUGACAUUUGAAGAAAACAAAGACGUUGCUACAUUUCUAUUCAAACAAGCGACAUCAAUAUCAGACAAUGGUGCUACAUUUAAUAAUACUACAGCUAUCCCCAUAAGCACCUCUUAGAAAGAAAAAAAAAUAUCCAUUAAAUUAAUGUUGGAAGAGUUAGCAACAUGUCCUCUCCCAAAAAAACUCAUGUUUGAUUCCUAGAGUCGUCCAUUUCGAAAGAAGCUCAACCCUGAUAAUAAAAACCUAGAUGUUAUGCUGCAGACUUAAAGAUCAAUUUCAUAAUGGAUCCAAAGGGCCUAAGCUGUGUGGGAUACUUAAGGGGGUAUAUUGAGGCUAAGGGUCAAAGAUCUUAAUUAUGGUCGGUUAAAAAAAGAAGAAAAAAAAAUUAUCUCUAAAUAUAAAGUCAACAAUAUUUCAAAUUGCAAGAUACAUUUAUUUAUUUUUUAAAUAUGUAUAUACCUCUUAUUAAUACUUACUAAUUUGUUUUGAGUGAUAAAAAGUUACGAGUUAGACAGAUCAGCACAUAAAAAAAGUAUUUGAAAAACAUCUACCAACAAAAUAAACACAUUAAAAACAAUACUACUUUUUUACAAUACUGUAUGUGAAAAUGACAAAAUCUUGAAAAAGAUGGAGGUAACAUGUACUCUUUUUUUUUUAGAGGGGAGCAUGUACUUUUCCACUAACAAUGUUGAUAAGAAACAUAUAAAAUACUAUUAGAGAAAGAAAAAAAAUAAUAAAUAAAGAAAUAUAUAAAAUACUGAGGAAUGACUCACUCAUGUCAAAUUUUAGCAAGGGAGAAGUGAUAUCACAUCAUUUUAGAAGAGGAAUGAGAAUAGAUAGAUCUAAUUUUUCUAGUAAGUUUGAAUAGUAGAAUCAUACUUCUUUGUCUUUUGUGAAAAUUUCAUAUUAUGGGAUCUAUUACUAGAAUACAGGUGAUUUUAUUCUGGAAGAUUGACUUUUUAUUAAAAUAAAAUAAAAGUACAUUUUUUAUUUCCAAAUGCUUAGUUGUUCAUUUAUAAAUAUUACAUUAUCCAACAGCACCAAACCCUAUUUCAUAACGGUACUCUGCACGUUUCAUUCAUUUACUGGUGCCUUAGUUUUUUGUUACAAACAGACAUUGAUCAGAGGAACAAAUGUAGAGACAAAUUGAAGAUAAUAUAUCACAUAAUAUUGUAGACACACCUUCACAUACAAAUGGGGUAAAGUCCCUCAUAGUAGUAUUAGAAAUAACACUUAGAGUAAAAUUUUGCUAAAUUUAACAUGAAAAUAAGUGUAAUGUAUUUUAUAGGCAGCUAUACAUAAUUAUUAAUUAGAACAAUUUUUUACACUGUCAAACAAAAAUUGAACAAUUUUUUACUAGCUUUAUGCUUUAUGAUGUUUUGAUUCCAUGUGCACAUUUCAAUUUUAGAACUAUUCCUUUCUAUGUUACUGAAAUAAUUCUAUCAUUAGGCAUUGACAUUUCCAUUAUGCGUGCACGUUAAAGUGUUUUCCCAAACAGAGAAAUAUUAAGAAAGGUUAAACUUUUGACUUAAAGACACAACUAAAAUAAGAUCCAAGGAAAACCCCAUUGAUUAUUUCUUGCACAAAAUUAAAAACCCCAUUGAUUAUUUCUUGCACAAAAUUAAAAUGCUAAUAAUUUUUCCUGGUCUAUAUUUUUCUCCUUCCGGGAAAUGGCAACAUCACAUGUUCAUCUCAUAAUUGAGAAAACACAUGUCUGGGAAAAUAUCUUAAAGAAAAGGCAGUAAAGUAAUAAAAAGUGCACCAAAUAGAGAUUAACUAGUACUCUUUGCAUGUCAACUAAGUGGUAUAAUUAUGUAUAUCACAUUCUUAAUAUUGAUUAUCUUGAUUGCACGAUAAGCCCCUCAAAUUGCUCAAUCGAUGAUUGCUUGAUAAGCCCAUCAAAUUGCCCAAUCGAUCGAAUCGUAACUUUCGAUAGACAUUUUUUUUAAGAAAACCCAAUUGGAUCAUAACUCCCCAUAGUCAUUUAUUUGAAAUUGUGAGCAAUUUGAUAACUUAUUGAGCAAUCACCAUUGAUUUUAGUCUCAAUUUAUCCUAAUGUUGUAACCCUGGAAUAAUGGAACAGUGAGUAAAUUUGGUUUCUCCGUCUCAAAAUAAGUGUCACAAUUUAACCAUGUGCACUACUCAUCAAAUCUACUUUGACAACAUUUUUUUUACUAAUAUAUAAAGACAAUGUUAGUACAUUACAUGUUCGAUUUGUCUUAGUUAAUGUUUUUAAAAUAUCGACUUUAUUAUAAUUUUUCUUAAUAGACAAUCAAAAAUAUCAAUUGUCAAAAUUGUGUAUUGAUAUGUAUGAAAAUCAAACUAUAACACUUACUUUGAGACGAAGAGAAUAACUAUUAAAAACUAAUGUUCAAAUAGAAAGAAAAGAAAACAAAGAUUCCAUACAAAGCUUGCAAAAUAGCUACAAUCAUAACCUAGAACAAAAAUCAUGACCACACACUAUAUCCAUUUUCCUUUUCCUAAAAAGCAAUUGAAGAUAAAAAAAAAAAAAAUAAUAAAUAAAAAAAAAAAAAAAAAAAAAAAAAANACCACCAUACUACUACAAAUCCCCACCUCCACCAUCGCCUUCUCCUCCACCACCAUACUACUACAAAUCCCCACCUCCACCAUCGCCUUCUCCUCCACCACCAUACUACUACAAAUCCCCACCUCCACCAUCGCCUUCUCCUCCACCACCAUACUACUACAAAUCCCCACCUCCACCAUCGCCUUCUCCUCCACCACCAUACUACUACAAAUCCCCACCUCCACCAUCGCCUUCUCCUCCACCACCAUACUACUACAAAUCCCCACCUCCACCAUCGCCUUCUCCUCCACCACCAUACUACUACAAAUCCCCACCUCCACCAUCGCCUUCUCCUCCACCACCAUACUACUACAAAUCCCCACCUCCACCAUCGCCUUCUCCUCCACCACCAUACUACUACAAAUCCCCACCUCCACCAUCGCCUUCUCCUCCACCACCAUACUACUACAAAUCCCCACCUCCACCAUCGCCUUCUCCUCCACCACCAUACUACUACAAAUCCCCACCUCCACCAUCGCCUUCUCCUCCACCACCAUACUACUACAAAUCCCCACCUCCACCAUCGCCUUCUCCUCCACCACCAUACUACUACAAAUCCCCACCUCCACCAUCGCCUUCUCCUCCACCACCAUACUACUACAAAUCCCCACCUCCACCAUCGCCUUCUCCUCCACCACCAUACUACUACAAAUCCCCACCUCCACCAUCGCCUUCUCCUCCACCACCAUACUACUACAAAUCCCCACCUCCACCAUCGCCUUCUCCUCCACCACCAUACUACUACAAAUCCCCACCUCCACCAUCGCCUUCUCCUCCACCACCAUACUACUACAAAUCCCCACCUCCACCAUCGCCUUCUCCUCCACCACCAUACUACUACAAAUCCCCACCUCCACCAUCGCCUUCUCCUCCACCACCAUACUACUACAAAUCCCCACCUCCACCAUCGCCUUCUCCUCCACCACCAUACUACUACAAAUCCCCACCUCCACCAUCGCCUUCUCCUCCACCACCAUACUACUACAAAUCCCCACCUCCACCAUCGCCUUCUCCUCCACCACCAUACUACUACAAAUCCCCACCUCCACCAUCGCCUUCUCCUCCACCACCAUACUACUACAAAUCCCCACCUCCACCAUCGCCUUCUCCUCCACCACCAUACUACUACAAAUCCCCACCUCCACCAUCGCCUUCUCCUCCACCACCAUACUACUACAAAUCCCCACCUCCACCAUCGCCUUCUCCUCCACCACCAUACUACUACAAAUCCCCACCUCCACCAUCGCCUUCUCCUCCACCACCAUACUACUACAAAUCCCCACCUCCACCAUCGCCUUCUCCUCCACCACCAUACUACUACAAAUCCCCACCUCCACCAUCGCCUUCUCCUCCCCCACCUUACUAUUACAAAUCCCCACCGCCACCUUCACCAUCUCCCCCACCACCCUACUACUAUAAAUCACCCCCACCACCUUCACCAUCUCCUCCACCACCAUACUACUACAAAUCACCCCCACCGCCAUAUGAACACAAGACUAAACCAUACUAUUACAAGUCUCCUCCACCACCAUAUGAACACAAGACUAAACCAUACUAUUACAAGUCCCCACCACCACCUUCACCAUCUCCUCCACCACCAUACUAUUACAAGUCCCCACCACCACCUUCACCGUCUCCACCCCCACCAUACUACUACAAAUCACCUCCUCCUCCAUCACCUAUUCCCCAUACACCUUACUACUACAAGUCCCCACCACCACCUAAGGUUCUUCCACCACCAUACUAUUACAACUCUCCUCCUCCACCUGUUGUGUAUCAUCACCCUCAUCCCUACCACCAUGCAUUGAUCGUGAAGGUAGUGGGUAACGUCUACAG
rnacentral:lncRNA from 1 species